rnacentral:rRNA from 1 species
UACGUAGGGUGCGAGCGUUGUCCGGAAUUAUUGGGCGUAAAGAGCUUGUAGGCGGUUUGUCGCGUCUGCUGUGAAAAUCCGGGGCUCAACCCCGGACUUGCAGUGGGUACGGGCAGACUAGAGUGUGGUAGGGGAGACUGGAAUUCCUGGUGUAGCGGUGAAAUGCGCAGAUAUCUGGAGGAACACCGGUGGCGAAGGCGGCAUUCUGGACCGAUAUUGACGCUGAGGAGCGAAAGCCAGGGGAGCAAACGGG